UGAUGAGGACUGCCUGGCUCUCCUCCCCAGGUCCAGGGCUUCCUCCCAGAACCUCAGGUGUUCCUGGGCUGGCACCUGUGGCCCUGAGCUGGGCAACACCUCAUCUCCAGGACCAUGGAUCAGCACAGUGUCCUCAUCCCACUUCAGGCUCGCUGUCUCACACCAUGGACACAGCGACUCUAGAAAAGCCCCAUGCAAAGCAGGCCUGCUCCCACAUUACUGGUGGAAGUGCACAAUGGCAUGACUCCUGUGGGGGAAAUUCAGUGUCAUCUAUCAGAUUACCAACCCCGCGGUCUCUUGGCCCAGCAGUCGUCCUGGGAGUUCACAUCUGUGUGAUGAUACAGCAACAUUGUAAUGGAAAGACUGGAGACCCCCAUUGCAUCAGUGGGGCAGUCAUUCAAUAAACUGGUGUGUGCACAUACUGGGUGGUAUGCAGCCCUUUGGAAAAAUGAAGGUUUUCCAGGUCCUGGAUAUAGCAGUGUAAAAUGAGAAAUCACAGAAUACCCAUGUUAUACCCAGGAGGGUGGCAGGUGGGCAUCCGUGGUACCCAGGACGGUGGCAGGUGGGGCACCCAUGUUCUACGUGGGGUGGCAGGUGAGCCCAAAACCAUUGCAGAGGCCGACAUUCUCAACAGGAGGGCCUAAGUGUGGGGAGGUAGGCUCUGACUCCCUAGGGAGAGAGGGACACUUAGGAAACAGACGGGCCCUGGAAGUGGGACGUGAAGAGUGCCCUGGCCAUCCAGUGUAGGCUGAGGUGGUGGGGGCACAGAAAGAAGAGAUUCGCCGAUGCCAACCUUCCAACCACUUCUCAGUUUGGCCAAGAGCCAGCUCUGGUCUUUGGGAAGGAACAGAUGAUCCUGGGUGAAGCUAGAGGGAAGGCCGGAGAGGCAAAAGGAGGGAGGAGCUAGGCCAGGGGUCAGCGACCGACCCUCGGGGCUGGUGUACAGGGGCUGCAACUCAGAGCCUAGGGGGCCUCCAAGGCACCUCUAGGCUCAAUUUACCCCUGGACUUCCCUCGAGCUCUCCCUGGGAUCACUGUGAUUUCCUCCUGGCAGCUCUCGUCUUGGACAGCCAUGCCCCCCUCCAUGCUGCACUAAUGGCUCAGCCUGGGGCCCCGGGGCCCCCCCCCCCCCCCCCCCCCAGACUGCUCUGCCGGCCCCCUUUCCUCCCUCACUGCUGAAACCCAAUCCUCUGCAGCAGCGCCGGCUCAGCACCACCUCAGCACCACUCCGCAGCCCCUGCCUGCCACGGUCAGCUGUGCCCCACCUGGUCUGCUGCGGAGUCCCCAGCCCAGUGUCUAGCCCAGUGGAGCCACUGCCUGUUCCUCGGGAAGGUUGAGUGGGACCUGACCGGCCAGGUUACCUCCUCCAAUCCUGUCAGGCUAGUGCCUCCCUGCCUCCCAACCU
rnacentral:lncRNA from 1 species